UACAGAGAGUGCAAACGUUGUUCGGAAUCACUGGGCUUAAAGAGCACGUAGGCGGCAUCGUAAGUGUCGGGUGAAAUCCCACGGCUCACCCGUGGAACUGCCCGGCAGACUGCGAUGCUUGAGUGUGGUAGGGGAAAGCGGAACUCCUGGUGGAGCGGUGAAAUGCGUAGAUAUCAGGAGGAACACCGGUGGCGAAGGCGGCUUUCUGGUCCACAACUGACGCUGAGGUGCGAAAGCUAGGGGAGCAAAC
rnacentral:rRNA from 1 species